GACGAACGCUGGCGGCGUGCUUAACACAUGCAAGUCGAACGGAAAGGCCCUGCUUUUGUGGGGUGCUCGAGUGGCGAACGGGGGAGUAACACGUGAGUAACCUGCCCUUGACUUUGGGAUAACUUCAGGAAACUGGGGCUAAUACCGGAUAGGAGCUCCUGCUGCAUGGUGGGGGUUGGAAAGUUUCGGCGGUUGGGGAUGGACUCGCGGCUUAUCAGCUUGUUGGUGGGGUAGUGGCUUACCAAGGCUUUGACGGGUAGCCGGCCUGAGAGGGUGACCGGCCACAUUGGGACUGAGAUACGGCCCAGACUCCUACGGGAGGCAGCAGUGGCAAAUAUUGUACAAUGGGCGGAAGCCUGAUGCAGCAACGCCGCGUGCGGGAUGACGGCCUUCGGGUUGUAAAACGCUUUCGCCUGUGACGAAGCGUGUGUGACGGUAAUGAGUAAAGAAGCACCGGCUAACUACGUG
rnacentral:rRNA from 1 species